UGAAGAGUUUGAUCCUGGCUCAGAGUGAACGCUGGCGGUAGGCCUAACACAUGCAAGUCGAACGGCAGCACAGAGGAGCUUGCUCCUUGGGUGGCGAGUGGCGGACGGGUGAGGAAUACAUCGGAAUCUACUUUUCGUGGGGGAUAACGUAGGGAAACUUACGCUAAUACCGUCAUACGACCUACGGGUGAAAGCAGGGGACCUUCGGGCCUUGCGCGAUUGAAUGAGCCGAUGUCGGAUUAGCUAGUUGGCGGGGUAAAGGCCCACCAAGGCGACGAUCCGUAGCUGGUCUGAGAGGAUGAUCAGCCACACUGGAACUGAGACACCGGUCCAGACUCCUACGGGAGGC
rnacentral:rRNA from 1 species